rnacentral:rRNA from 1 species
GUGGGGAAUAUUGGGCAAUGGGGGAAACCCUGACCCAGCAACGCCGCGUGAAGGAAGAAGGUUUUCGGAUCGUAAACUUCUAUCCUUGGUGAAGAUAAUGACGGUAGCCAAGAAGGAAGCCCCGGCUAACUACGUGCCAGCAGCCGCGGUAAUACGUAGGGGGCAAGCGUUGUUCGGAAUGAUUGGGCGUAAAGGGCGCGUAGGCGGCCUGGUAAGUCUGGAGUGAAAGUCCUGCUUUUAAGGUGGGAAUUGCUUUGGAUACUGUCGGGCUUGAGUGCAGGAGAGGUAAGCGGAAUUCCCGGUGUAGCGGUGAAAUGCGUAGAGAUCGGGAGGAACACCAGUGGCGAAGGCGGCUUACUGGACUGUAACUGACGCUGAGGCGCGAAAGUGUGGGGAGCAAACAGGAUUAGAAACCCGGGUAGUCC